rnacentral:rRNA from 1 species
UACGGGCAGGGCAAGCGUUAUCCGGCGUGACUGGGCGUAAAGAGUCCGUAGACGGUGAAGUAAGUUUAUUGUUAAAUUUUAAAACUUAAUUUUAAGAAAGCAAUAAAUACUGCUUUACUUUGAGUUUAAUAUAGAAAAGUGGAAUUUUAUAUGGUAGGGGUGAAAUCCGUAGAUAUAUAAAGGAAUGCCAACAGCGAAGGCAGCUGGCUACACGAAUAUUGACACUGAUGCACGAAAGCGUGGGGAUCAAACAGG